UUUUAACCACCUUUUUAUUUGGGCUUAAAGCCGUUCCGUAGCUGAUUUUAAGUCUCUUAGGAAUCUCCACGCCUGACUUGGAGGCCGUUCUAAGAAGAUACUGGAAUCUAGGGACCCGGGAGAGGUAAGAGGUACUUCAGGGGUAGAAGUGAAAUUCUGUAAUCCUUGAGGGACCACCGAUGGCGAAGGCAUCUUACCAGAACGGCUUCGACAGUGAGGAACGAAAGCUGGGGGAGCGAACGGGAUUAGAUACCCCGGUAGUCCCAGCCGUAAACUAUGCGCGUUAGGUGUGCCUGUAACUACGAGUUACCGGGGUGCCGAAGUGAAAACGUGAAACGUGCCGCCUGGGAAGUACGGUCGCAAGGCUGAGAGCUUAAAGGAAUUGGCGGGGGAGCACCACAACGGGUGGAGCCUGCGGUUUAAUUGGACUCAAAAAACGGGCAGCUCACCGGAUAGGACAGCGGAAUGAUAGCCGGGCUGAAGACCUUGCUUGACCAGCUGAGAGGAGGUGCAUAGCCGUCGUCAGUUCGUACUGUGAAGCAUCCUGUUUAGUCAGGCAACGAGCGAGACCCACGCCAACAGUUGCUAGCAUGUUCUCCGGAAUGAUGAGGACACUGUUGGGACCGCCUCUGUUAAAGAGGAGGAAGGAAUGA
rnacentral:rRNA from 1 species